rnacentral:lncRNA from 1 species
UCAUCUUCAUCUCUGUAUGAUGCUCCAGCUACUCCAGACUUACUGCCCUGUGUCUGUUCCUAAGGCCAAGCCAUCACAUUAUGGAACUCAUCCAUAGUCCACCUGUGCACUGGUGGCGUGUCGUACAGUCCUAUAAUCAUCUCAGUAGUGGCCACCUGCCCUCUGUGGAGAGACUCCACCCUUGCCUCCAUCAUGGACAUAUACAUGUCCCUCAUCUGGAAAGGCUCAACAUGAUGUGCCGGUGCAUUUGCAGGUACGUCCUCCUGCUGUGUUGCUGCCCUCCUAGGACGUCUCCUAGGAACUACUCCGG